rnacentral:rRNA from 1 species
AAUUUUUAAAUUUCUGUGUUUUGACCUUUUGAAAAGAAAGUUUUAUUCUUGCUUGCUAUUAACUAUUUUUAUUAAGUAAAUAUAUUUUUUUAUAGAUUAAUGUUUGUAUUAUUUAUAUUUAAAUAAAUUUAAAUAAUGUUUUAGAAAUAAAUUUAAAAGGGGUCAAAAUUGUGCCAGCAACUGCGGUUAGACAAUUGCUUUAAUUUAAUAUUAUAUAGAUUUUAAUUAUUUGAUUGAUUUUAAUCAAAUAUAUAAUUUAAGGUGAAAUUUAAUUAUAUUUUUUAUAUAAAAUUUUAAUAUUUUAAAUAAAUUAUUUUAUAAACUAGGAUUAGAUACCCUACUAUAAAUAAUGUGAAUAAUAAUCUUAGGUAGUAAAUGUUAUAACCAGGAAACUUAAAGAAUUUGGCGGUAUUUAUUCUUACCAGAGGAAUAUGUUUUUAGAUUGAUUUUCCCCAUAUAUCUUACUCUAAUUUUUUAUAUUUUGUAUACCUCCGUCUAAAAAUUUUUCUAAAAUAUAUUUUAAGUUUCUAUAAAGAAAUAAGUCAGGUCAAGGUGCAGGUUAUAUUGGAGUUAAAAUGUAUUACAAUAAAUUUAUUUUUGGAAUUAAAAUUAAAAAUUUUGGUUAAAAUUGGAUUUGAAAGUAAAUUUAUUUUUAUUAUAAUAAAUUGAAUCAAGUAAAUAAAUAUGCACAUAUUGCCCGUCAUUCUCUUUUAUAAAGAGACAAGUCGUAACAAAGUAGAUUUACUGGAAAGUGAAUCUGUUUA